UUUGGUUUUACAAUCAGCUAUAAAACUGAUUUUAUAAAAGGUAGUUUUAUAAUCAGCUGUAAAACUCUAAAACUAACUUUUAACAAUUGAGUUAAGUAUACUCAAGAACAAAAUUCAGAGCAUAUUUGUUUCUCUCUACCUGAUUUCUACAGAUUUUGGAAACUAUUUGUGAGUAUUCCUAACUUAUGACAAUACAGUUAUUUGCAUAAGUGCAAAAAGAAUCUGUUUUCAUUUGUAACAGGACACCAUUGGAGAAACUAGUUAUUUUUACCAAGACUUUGACCAGAACGGUGUGCUUUCCUUUAAGGAAUCA
rnacentral:lncRNA from 10 species